CAUAACGGAGGUGCCCCACCUCCCUGCUGCCAGCCCGCGGGUGGCUCGCAGAUGCCAGCAGCCCUCAUGACUGAGAGGCACCUAAACUUUCUCACCCCAAGCUAAGCCUCCUCUCUGCAACGCUCCGAGGAGGCAUAGGAAUGCCCACCGUGCAGGGCAAAGUGAUGCCGGGGACGGCGAGACGAGCGCUGGCUGAUGCCUUUUCCAGAUGAGGCGCCCAGAAGUGCAGCUGCCACCGGAACAGAGCAAGACAAUUUGUUUACAAGGCAGGCCCAUGCUCUCGGCGGCCGAGGGCAGGAGGAAGGGGAGGCUGCGGUCUCCAGGUCCACACAGGGGGAUGGCCUGCAUUGUUCCAGAAACUGGCUCAGAAACUGCUGAUUUGAGGGCUUGGGAGACACUGGAAAGACAAGAUUUGUCCUGUGAGGACGCCUCUCCUCCUAUCAAUAGCAGAGGGAGCUUGAACAGCCAGCACAGUUUAGGCCUUGCCUUCCCCUCUGCAGUGAAUCCCACCAGGAGAUAAGCCCUGCUGGACAUUCCCAACCCUCUGAGUCACCCAGGGUUGCGCCCAGCCACGAGCCAAGGGCCAAGGACACCAGCUUUGCUGUGGGUCUGCAGCCUCUGAGCACCUGAAGGUGGACAGAAGGAUUCAGGGUCUGACACAUUUUGCAGUGAAAACUGCAAUCCCAUACUUUUUUCCAGGAAAAUCUGGUAGCAGAAAUAGAGUUUAGAGAGUGGGGUCAAUGGGACAAAAGGCUGCUGGUGAUUUUUCCACUCUACAUUAUUUGGCUUUGGAUACUAGGAAAAAUGACACUCAUAAAAGGCCUCCUUUGUGUACCUACAAUGGGAGUGGUUGCUCGGUUGCUAGUGCGAGUAUCAGUGAAUUUUAAGGGCAGACAAGGCCACUGGUGGGGGGGGAGCAGUGCUGCAGCUGUAGGGGUAUAGUGGAGUGGGGGCUUUGCCUGACAGGGUUUAGUGAUGAAACAUUAAAACCCCAGCACCCCAGCCCUGCUCGCUGGAAUGUGGCUGCCCCCUGUCCCACUGUGGUCCCACUCACUGUCACAGGGCACUGCAUGGCAUCUGGAUCCUUGCACUCCCAGUGAGGUCAGGCUUUCCAGGUGACAGCUCCGAUCAUUGUAAUUCCAAAGGAUUGCAAGGGGUGGGGGAGGAAACAUCUCUAUUUUCCUUCUAUUUUUAUGAGCAUAUGAUAGCACUUUGAUAUGAAAUUACUUGUUUUGCUGCAUCCCUUGGUAUUCCGGGCUGGGCUCCAAGCCACCCGAGGGCAGUGACAGACUGCCAGUGACCUCAAAGGCCGCUGGCCCGGGGCUGGCACCAGCCACUUUCUUCCUUGGUUUGUGUCCAUUUUACAAAAACAGAGAAGAAAAACCACCCUCACAUGUCCAACCAGAUGAAAAUCCCUCUGCAAGACCACAUUUGAAGACUGUACAUUUAAACUCUAUGGAGACAUUCAGGCUCCUGUCCUUCUGCAGCUCCUGAAACUUCCACCCACUUGGGUUGUUUGUAGGAACAGCCACUGUCUCCAGGCGAUGGGGAUGGAUUAUAAUCUUUGUUCGUGUAUGUGGAGUGACUGACGCAGAUGUUUGUACAAUGGGUGCUUUAUAAAGUGACAAAAUACUUUCAAA